GACGAACGCUGGCGGCGUGCUUGACACAUGCGAGUCGAACGGAAAGGCCCUGCUUUUGUGGGGUGCUCGAGUGGCGAACGGGUGAGUAACACGUGAGUAACCUGCCCUUGACUUUGGGAUAACUUCAGGAAACUGGGGCUAAUACCGGAUAGGAGCUCCUGCUGCAUGGUGGGGGUUGGAAAGUUUCGGCGGUUGGGGAUGGACUCGCGGCUUAUCAGCUUGUUGGUGGGGUAGUGGCUUACCAAGGCUUUGACGGGUAGCCGGCCUGAGAGGGUGACCGGCCACAUUGGGACUGAGAUACGGCCCAGACUCCUACGGGAGGCAGCAGUGGGGAAUAUUGCACAAUGGGCGGAAGCCUGAUGCAGCAACGCCGCGUGCGGGAUGACGGCCUUCGGGUUGUAAACCGCUUUCGCCUGUGACGAAGCGUGAGUGACGGUAAUGGGUAAAGAAGCACCGGCUAACUACGUG
rnacentral:rRNA from 1 species